CUCAAAUCUGGUUUCCUGGAUGCGGUCCUGGAGAGUGCAGCAGCGGGAACCGCAACCCUGCGGCCCUGGAACCUCCCAGAGAUCACACUCUUCAGACAGCCUCGGUCACCUGUGUAUCUGAACUAAGAGCCCUGGAUGAUGAAGAGAGGAAACUGUAGCAAAGGAUCCAGAUCUCAGCCAGAUCUGCUUACCUGUGAAUCAGAACUAAGAGCCCUGAAUGGUGAAGAGGGAAGGCAGUAGCCAAGGAUUCAGGUUGAGGACAAGGAGCUGAAGCAGCACGCAGAGUUUGAAUGGUUAAAUUUAAUGAAGAGCAACAAGAAGAAUGACUGCUUCUCUGGUAAAUGUGUCCAAGUGUCUGCUAACAUUCAGGGAUGUGGCUGUGGAGUUCUCAAUGGAGGAAUGGGAAUGUCUCAACUAUUCCCAGAAGACAUUGUAUAGAGAUGUGAUGAUGGAAAAUUACAACAAUCUACUCUUUGUGGAGAAUCACUGUAAAUAUAAGAAGGUAUUGGAUCAAGACCCGAAUUCUAUUGUCCAUAAUGUGAAUAUCUAUGAAAAGGCAUAUGAAUGUAAUGAGCUUGUCAAAAUGACUCAUGAAUCCUCCCAAGGUACACCUUUUAAAACUAAACAUAAAGAUGCAUCUCUUCAAAUAUCAACCCUAAAUAGACAAAAAAUUGGGAAUACUAGAGAUGAACCUUGCAAAUUUAAAGACUGUAUAAACUUUUUGAAUGUGUUUGUCAUUAGACAAAAUCAAAGAAUCUACAUAGGAGAGAAAGAACCAACCACCAUAGAGUAUGAAAAUCAUUAUAACUCAAAACAUGAAGUCAUGCUGAAACAAAGUAACAGUACUGGAAACAAACCGCACAUUUUCAGGAAAUAUGGGCAAUGCUUCAAGAUAUACUCAAGCUUCAGUAGAUAUCAGAACGAUCAUACUUCAGAGAAAUUCUAUAAAUGUAUAAAAUGUCGUAAAUCCUUUCUGCAUUUAUCACAGCUCAAAGUACAUUACAAAAUUCAUUAUAGAAAAUAUCCUUGCAAAUGUACAGCAUGUAGUAAGUGCUUUUAUCAUACAUUUGGCUUCAAAAGACAUUACAGCAUCCACCCUGAAGUAAAUACUUACAAAAGCAGUGAUUGUGACAAAUCCUUUAUCUACUACUCAAGUCUUAGAAAACAUCAGAAAAUUUUUGGAGGAGAGAGACACUAUGAAUGUAAUGAAGGUCUGAGGUCACUCUAUACAGUCUUUCAACCUGUGUACUAUUAUAUACCACAUAUAGGAGAGAAAGCUUACAAAUGUAGCGAAUGUGAGAAAUGCUUUACCCGGAAAUACCAUCUGACAGUCCACCAGAGAAUCCAUACAGGAGAGAAACCUUACAAAUGUGGUGAAUGUGACAAAUGCUUUACCCGGAAAUACCAUCUGACAGAUCAUCAGAGAAUUCAUACAGGAGAGAAACCUUACAAAUGUAGUGAAUGUAAGAAAUGCUUCACUCGGAAAUACCAUCUGACAGAUCAUCAGAGAAUUCAUACAGUAGAGAAACCUUAUAAAUGUAGUGAAUGUGGCAUGUCUUUUAUGAAGAAAUACCAUCUUAGAAGUCAUCAAAGUAUUCAUACAGGAGAAAAACCUUACAAUUGUAGUGAGUGUGACAAAGGCUUUACCUACAAAGGCCAUCUUAGAAGACAUCAGAAAAUUCAUACAGGUGAGAAACCUUACAAAUGUAGUGAAUGUGCCAAAUGCUUUACAGAGAACAGCAAACUUAGAAGACAUCAAAGAAUUCAUACAGGAGAGAAUCUUUACAAAUGUAGUGAAUGUGACAGAUGCUUUAUUGAGAACAACAAACUUAGAAGUCAUCAGAAAGUUCAUAUAGGAGAGAAACCAUACAAAUAUAGUGAAUAUGAUAAGUGCCUUACUCAGAAAGGCAGUCUUAGAAGUCAUCAAUUAAUUCAUACAGGAGAGAAACCUUACUGAUGCAAUAAAUGUGACAGAUCUGUUAGCUGGAAAUAUUAUCUUAUGGUUUAUGAAAGAAUUCAUACAUGAGAGAAACCUUACAAAUGUAGUGAAUGUGACAAAUGAUUUUCAGUAAAAGCUCUCUUAGAAAUCAUCAGAAAAACCAUACAGGAGAGAAACAUUACAGAUGAGGUGAAUGGACAAAUGUUUUACCAGAAAUGCCAUCUUAGAUGUCAUCAAAGAAUUCAUAUUGAAGAGAAACAUUUAUCAGAGACACGGUUGUUACUAAGAACAGUUAUUGCAAAGCAAGUGUAAAUAAAAGGCCUGUAAAAAGCUA
rnacentral:lncRNA from 1 species